rnacentral:rRNA from 1 species
GGGGGGGGGGGGGGGGGGGGGGGGGGGGGGGGGGGCGGGCGGCGGCGCAGUGGGAGCUGGCUCGGACGGGGGGGGGGGGGCGGGCGGGUGGGGAGUACGGCGGAAUCUACUUUUUCGUGGGGGGUGACGUAGGGAAACUUACGCUAAUGCCGCCUACGACCUACGGGUGAACGCAGGGGAUCUUCGGACCUUGCGCGAUUGAAUGAGCCGAUGUCGGAUUAGCUAGUUGGCGGGGUAAAGGCCCACCACGGCGACGAUCCGUAGCUGGUCUGAGAGGAUGAUCAGCCACACUGGAACUGAGACACGGUCCAGACUCCUACGGGAGGCAGCAGUGGGGAAUAUUGGACAAUGGGCGCAAGCCUGAUCCAGCCAGACCGCGUGGGUGAAGAAGGCUUUCGGGUUGUAAAGCCCCUUUGUUGGGAAAGAAAAGCAGCAGGUUAAUACCCCGCUGUUCUGACGGUACCCAAAGAAUAAGCACCGGCUAACUUCGUG